UUUUGCUUUUGGAAAAGUGGAUUUCACAAACAGAUAACGCAUACCUUAAAAAUGCUCCUCGGGGCACACAAAUGUUCAUUUCCUGGAAACAUUCAGCUGUGCUGCCGGCCCAGAGAAGCACGAUGCUGACCACCAGCUGACCUUGCACUGAUGCUGUCUGCUUCAGGAUAAAGCACAGAUACUUCUGCAGCUACACAGAACCGGUGACCCUGUUGGAUGAAUACAGUGUCUUAAGCAGAACACAACCUAAGGCCUUUGUCUCGAGAUAAUGCUUUCUUGCAUUAGACAUUUCUGUCCUGAAAACACAUCUCAAUCCAGGUCACCUGGAACUUCAACCCUUACCUUCACAGGACUCACGCUCUGCAGUAACUGCUGAGACCCCACCAAAGAGCAGAAAUUAGGGAGAAAUUUCAGAAGCCAGCUUGGACAUGAUGCUUUCUAUCUGAGUGAACGUGAGGAAAAGAUAAAGGUGAGUGCAAUAGAUGUUGCAGAGGCUGCAUAGCCUGCAGGUCAGUGUGAGCCCACACUGAACACACAUCGGGUCUCUGCACCAGCAAAGUAAUCUGAAGGCAAUUUUGGAGAGCUGCAUGCUCACCAAACACCGAGCUGCCUUUAUCUGAAAUAUAUUGUCUGUGUUAAGGAACUUCAAUACCAGAUGUCUUACGUGCAAGACAGACAGCCGGUUCAACUACAGCAGUACUCCAACAGGGAUGAAUAUCAUCAUGGGGGGGAUUGCAAAGCACAUUAAGGGGGAAAUGGGUGCUGAGAUUUCUUCCUCCUGGUGGUCCCCUGGAAGACAGAGACACGCUGUGGUAGGAGGGCUGAAUGUUGUGGCUGAAGUCAGAGAAAAACCAGGCAGAGAGGAGCCCAGGGAGCACUCUGGAGCAUUGGGGUUGCAGGUCAGUCCCCACAGCACAUACCUCCAUCAGGUGGACAUAGUUUGGUGUCUGAAGAAACAACAGCGAGAUCAAAUAUCCAUUAGAAUGAUUUCUUCUCUUUCCAUGCAUUCCAUCAUGAGCGGUGACAGGAGCUGUAGGGCUCGAGAAUGUCAACCCAUAGGACAUCUCACACCUGGGCUGCCCUUAAGGAGGGAAGGGACGGGCCCAGUAACACACACACUUCAGUGGACGUAGAGCACUGCUAAUCUACAUCAGGACUUACACCAGGGCUCCUAUCUACCCCGGUCCUGCUCUGUCAGGAGCCUGAAUUCCGCGGCAGGCAAAGAGACACUCAUUUGGUGGAGAGCAGGGAUUCCUCUGUGAGCCCCACCAGAUGGAAACCCAUUUUGCUCAGGAACUGCACUGGGAGUUGACACACUUCUUGCAAAACAAGCACAGUGCCAAAUCUCCAGGCAGAAAGCCAUGCUUGAAAAGGGUUUUUUUUUUUUAACAAUGUGCUCUCAUCUGCUUUUUCCUCUUAGCAAAAACUUCCUCACUUACCAGUUUAUAUCUCCCGCUGCCAUAGUUUCCCUUCAGCUUCAUAUCUCAGCUCCUGCUCUGCUCUCUGUGCACAUUUAUACACCAAACACUUUGCAGAAAACUUGAAAGGACUGCAUUGUCCUGCUAAUUGGUUAUAAGCACGUUAUCUGCAAUCUGCUGUCCCUGCCCAGCUAUUGUGCUCCCUUGGGGAUAAAACACACAUUAUUUAUUUGGAAUAAGUGCAUGUUAUGCUUAUAACAAGAUAAGCACAAAACAAAAAAAUUACAAAUUAGAAACAUCAUUUUUCUCUUCACAAUGUUCAAGCUGGGAAUAUAAGCACUUGUACAAUAUAUGCAUGCAUACAGUGAAGGCAUAUAUGCAGGAUCCAUCUGAUUUGCCAGACCUGAAUACCUCAGUUUUGAGAACCACGUGUGCAAAUGCCAAGUAAUCUGACUGCUGCUGAAGGUGGACGUGGUGUAAAUCUGAGACCUCUGCAGGCUGCUGAGGGAUGCUCUGCACGUUAUCACAGCCUCAGAUGACCCUGGAGAAAAUCUCUGAGUGAGGAAAGAGGAUACAACUGGAAAAAAAGAACAGGCUAUGUGAGGAAUAUUUAUAAAACAUUUCUAAUCUCUACUCUCUGCAUAUCUUGAGAGAUGAGGAAAGUGCUUCUUGAGAGAAGGCUCUGUAGGCAGGCUGCAGUAAGGGGUGCUCAAAAUGCACAUCCAUUACUUUUGGGUGGUUUAUCAGUUUCAUUAUCAGAUUCAAAAUUAGAACCCCUUCCUUGUGAGCAGUGGUAAUUGUGUCUUAAAAAGGCACAGUGAAGAAAAUACAGUUGUGUGCAGAUCUGCAGAGCACAAUGGGGCCUCCACUGCCAGCAGGGGUCCCAGGCAUGAUCUCUCCUCUUGGGCAAUUCCAACGGGAGAACCCUGAUAACCCUCAUAUCUAGAUCUGUAAGAGCAACUCAUUGUCCUCUGCUAUCCUGUAAUUUAAAUAACACAUGUAGAGCCAUCAGCAGCCGGCAGACAUAUUGUGCUAUACAGUUGCCUUGCUGUUCAAAUUAACGUAAUUACACGCCCAGUUCUCCUAUUUCAGUUGUAAUAGUGAAAACAGUGAACUUGCUGAUAACAGUGAGUACAAAGGCUCUGUUUUCUAGUUUAAGAGCUAAGCUCUUGUGUCAAAAGAGCAGUUUAAAGUUCACAGCCUGCUCUUAGUGGUCACACUUCAGCCACCAGGUGCACUUACCCAGCUCCACUUUCCUCCUUUCUCUCCAGAAUGCUUUAUGGGGAAGAGGGGGCUGUGUUUCCCUAAAUAAGGCAAAUAUCCUUUAUUCAGCUGGGCACUGGCAUGGAGUAACAUCAGUGUGGUUUCGAUAUGGCUCAAAAGUGUGGGUUGUUAAGCUGUGGUGGAAGGCAGCACGUGAAAGACCCCAGCCCUUCUUUCAUGAAAGGGGAGCUCAGGCCUCAGCCUUGGAUGAAGGCUCCUUGUGCAGCCCUGUACCACUUUGCCCCCUAAAUACAUCACGUGAGCUCUUUGUGCCACCACUUCAUAAACCAGCCAUGGGAAUGGAAGAAGACUGCAGAGACCUCCCCAAAGGGCACCACUGCACUGCCCAGUGCCUGGCUGGAAGAGGCUGCUGAAACAAAGCAUGGGUGUAACUCAAGUUUGGAUUUAGCACUUCCUUUGCCAACAAGCACUGCUAAAAUGGAAACUGCUCAUAACAAAGAACACAAAAGCAAAACUGAAAUCAAAAAAUCCCCAUGAAGUGAUCUCGUAAUUAGCAGCUAUUUCUCAUAAAUAGCCGUUGCCUUCCAAAACUAAUUUCAUUAUGGAUAAGCAUUAGGCAGAUCUUCCCCCCAAUCUGUUUGAGCAGCAUGAAAGCACAGGUUCCUCUCCUCUCCUUGAACUCUUCCCUGUGUCAGUGUCUCCUUGCUAGCCCACAGGGUAACCAUCCAACUCUUGGCUGGCCUAAUGAACUGAACAUCCAGUUUGCUGGCAGCCCCAGAGCUGAUCCAAAGCAAACAGCAACAGCAUGGGGCCGAGCGCUGUGUGCUUUGCCAUGGCUUCACCCAUUUGCAGCCUCCUCACUGCUGAGCUGAGUCCCACCAAAGCCUUACAUCAGCACAUCUUUGGGCCUUGUCAGCUCUUGCCAGUGUCAACUUCGAGCUGUGCUUCUCCAGAUCCAUCUCUGUGUGUCCAUGUAUCUUUAAAAGGACACAAACCCCCCUCUGCAGCCCUCUCCAUGGCAAUCUCACCUACAGAAUCCGCCAACACAAGUUUUCAAUUCUUAUCUGGAAAAGGUUUUGAAAUGGUUUUACUAUUGUGAAACAUUUUACAGGGAAGUCUGGAUUCCUUGAAUAGAUAUCUGAAUUGACGGUUGAAGCUCCAGGACAUGCCUUUGCUGCAUUUCCAGUUCUCCUCCUCCACCACUAAAGUUUUCCCCAUGCAAUCUAAGAUCCUUCAUCAACUAGAAAAAUUAGAAGAAGUCAACUGAAUCAUCACAAGAUCACGUCCAUGUGUAGCAAAACUGUUUUAAGUGUCUCCUCCCCUGUUUUGCUGUGCUGCGCAGUUUGUCAUCCCCUCAGCUGUGCCCCCCCAUUCUGGUGUCCCUGCUGAGAAACAGCUUCCAGAAAACAGUCAGUUCAAACUUUUUUAUAAGUGCUUUUUUUUUUACCUUCUUCUGUGAUCUAUCUAUCUUUGUACUGUGGCCCCAGUUGUCCCGGUCAGCUCCAGCACAGCGUGGGAGGGGAUGGCCAGGCACUGCUCUGCCCCAGCUCCAAAGGAACCGUGGUAAAAGAAGCAACUCCAAGGGGGUUACAAGGAGGAGCUUGCAAGGCCUCCUGGCUCCUCUGCAGAGGUGGGGGCAGUGGGGAUUUUCAAGGCCUCCCUACUCUACCCGCUGCAGGACCUUGCACACACCCUAUGCAUUACCUCCCGCAGCUUCUCCCUCCUGUCAAAUGAUCCACUCAUCCUCCCCAGCUCAGAAAUCCUGCCCAUGCUGAUUUCCAGUUAAAGGAAGACCAACGACUCUACACAUCCACUUGGAAACACCAUCUGAAAUGUUGCGGAUCCCUCAACACUGUGCACUCAGAUCUGGGAAGAAAUACGAGUCCUCAACAGGACUCAAAGCACCUUUGUGAAGGCUCUUUCUAACUGUUGACAUUCUAUGUUCUGUUUUCAAAUGCACUUUAUUUGCAUUACCUGAAUAAACCUUCUGUUAAUAAGUUACCUAGCAGCUCUGAGUGAUCAGAACAGUAGUUAAUCUGCUGAUAAUGUUGAUAUUCAGGCAAAUAAGAGUAGCGACUGAACAAAGUUGAAUACAAGUUGGGAAUGCUUUGCUUGCUGAGAGGUCUCUAGUUUGCUUACGUGUUAACUCACAUCUCAGCUAAUGAGAAAAAACAAGUAUUGGGAGUUAUUCAAAACGAAGCUCUGGGCUGCAUGCAGCAAACACACAGCUCUGAUACUGAUUGUUAAAAAUACUUUGUUCUCUACCUUAGGAGUUUAGGAAUUAGCUGUUUAUUAUCGGGGAUCUUUCUGAACAUCCUUCCCAAGUAAAUAAGGAAAUCCUUCUUAAAAGAGUCUGAAGAAGUGUUUGUUAAACCUUUUUGUUCCCAGACACUCCAGUUCUCCUCUCGCACACCGAUGUCAGCUUGAGUUCAACCUGAAAAAACCGAGCAUGGCAAAGCAAAAACCCGAGCCCUGAGAGCAAACACCCUGCAGCUCAGUGAAGCACGCAGCAGUUUGCUUUCAGUCCACUAUUGCUAUAGUUAUAUUUUUCAGUUAAACAUUACACAACUUUGGAGUAGGAAUGGUGAAAAUAAAGGCGUGUUGACCCAGGAGACAGCUCCCCUUUCAGUGCUCCCUUCUGCCCUUUCUGUUUUCUGUGUUUCAGUGCUGUUCAAGCCCAGAAACUCACCUUGCACCUGGCAACAUCUGCCACCUGUAAAUGCUGGAGCUUCACAGGUCCCCUCCAUGCAGCAGUCGGGCCACAGAGCUGUACUGAUCCUCGGUUUGCUGGUAGAUAUGGGGAGAUUCUGCUCCUCACUGCAGAAAGACUCAUUUUUCAGGGCAGAAGGAAAAUGCAUUUGCUAUUCAGCAUCACUGAAGACACAAACUGAAGAUCCACAUAAGCAAUAAGAUCCUCCAUGUCCCAGAGCUAAAGAGUUGGAACAUCCAUGGCCGGGUUUCCUUCUCGUUAUUGCUUUUCUUAUAUGAACCACGCAGCGUGAAAGACUGAGCAGAUGAAACUUUCCAGCUACUGGCAUGAAGCCUUUCCACAGACGUAAAAGGAGUGGCAGAAGAACGUUUGUAUCUGAGUAUCCAGAUCAGAAUACAUAGCAUUCAGCAACCAGCCAGUGUCCACUUCCCCCAAAUAAAGCAGCCA
ensembl:lncRNA